UACGGAGGGUGCAAGCGUUAUCCGGAUUCACUGGGUUUAAAGGGUGCGUAGGUGGGCAGGUAAGUCAGUGGUGAAAUCUCCGGGCUCAACCUGGAAACUGCCAUUGAUACUAUUAGUCUUGAAUUUUGUUGAGGUAGGCGGAAUAAGUCAUGUAGCGGUGAAAUGCAUAGAUAUGACUUAGAACACCAAUUGCGAAGGCAGCUUGCUAAACAAAUAUUGACGCUGAGGCACGAAAGCGUGGGGAUCAAACAGGGA
rnacentral:rRNA from 1 species